UAUCUUUAUAGUAUAAUUUAUUACAAUUAACUUCCAAUUAAUAAAUUUAACUAAAAUUAAUUUAGAUAU
rnacentral:tRNA from 1 species